rnacentral:rRNA from 1 species
CCUACGGGAGGCAGCAGUAAGGAAUCUUGCGCAAUGGGCGAAAGCCUGACGCAGCGACGCCGCGUGCAGGAUGAAGGCCUUCGGGUUGUAAACUGCUUUUGUACGGAACGAAAAGGCUCUGGCUAAUACCUGGGGCUCAUGACGGUACCGUAAGAAUAAGCACCGGCUAACUACGUGCCAGCAGCCGCGGUAAUACGUAGGGUGCGAGCGUUAAUCGGAAUUACUGGGCGUAAAGCGUGCGCAGGCGGUUAUGUAAGACAGGGGUAAAAUCCCCGGGCUCAACCUGGGAACUGCCUUUGUGACUGCAUGACUAGAGGACGGCAGAGGGGGAUGGAAUUCCGCGUGUAGCAGUAAAAUGCGUAGAUAUGCGGAGGAACACCGAUGGCGAAGGCAACCCCCUGGGCCUGUACUGACGCUCAUGCACGAAAGCGUGGGGAGCAAACAGGAUUAGAUCCCCUGGUAGU